UAUAGAGCGUGCUGCAGGGUACUGCCAUCCUAAGGCAGAUUUGGUAUAACCCAAGAUCACAGUCAGAGUUCUGCUCUGACACAAGGGAUGCUCUAGUCUAGGUUUCUGGAAACAUCCCUCACACACACUGAUUGUGAAAACGGAGUGAAGAAUGGAAUUCGGGAUACAUCUUUUGAGAAGUAUUCCCGGAGGCGAUUUUGAGUUUCUCCUUCUUGACAGCCCAUCCUAGCUGGGACUGCUUGGUGUUCCACAUAGGUUGAAAGAGGGGAUUGAAAUUUAAAUUUGGCCAUGUGCUGAAUUUUAUACACUCCACAGACUUGGGCCAUAUGAAGAAGCUGCCCGUGGUGUCCAGAGAUCAAGAUGCUACUACUUGGGAGGUUCCUCUGUGAAGCACGAAGGCAUUGAUGAGGAGUGCUGAUUUCUAGUUGUCCUGAAUCCUGCGAUAUCAAGUGAACAGCAUGAAAUGGAAUCAACGUGGAGAGCUUCAGAAAAACAUUUCUAAGCGUGUGUGUGCAGCAAUUAGGAUGCUCCAGUCAAAUGGGGCCUCAUCCCCGCCCCCUGGUAAUUUCCUGCUCUUGGUUGCUCCGAUGCUAAAUAUUUAUCCUGGCUUACUAAAGCAAAAACCAAAACGACGAAAACACCGUUAGAAACACACCACCCGCAGCUCAUCACUACUGAAUUUCUUCAUCCACUUUGUGCCUUUCUUGUCUCCUGAAACAAGUUUUCAUCAUCCCAGAGGACAUGUGAACUUCUUGUCUCUGUCUCUAUCUGGCUGCCGAAUCAUAAAGCUGUAUGGAUGGCCGCGACUGUGAGAGGAAUAAGUAUGGGGGAGGUGUUCAAGGGUCUAACCCGUGUCCCCCUCCUGCUUAUAACAUCAAGUCCUAAUCCUCCUGCAACUGUGUCCGGAGAGAAAAUGUUUAGGAGGCAAUUAUGCAUUAGUAAGGUGAUGAAAGUGGGACCCUGAACCUACUGGGUUAGUCUCUGUCAGAAGCAACACCCCAGAGGCUUACUCUUGCUCAUUCUUGCUUUGUUGAGUGCACGCCCACUCUCUCUGCCACCUGAGGAUGAGCAGAAAGAAGCCAUCUGCAAGCCAGGAAGAGACCUGGUACAGCAGCAUAAUCUUCCAGGCUCUUGAUUUUGGACUUCCCAGCCUCCAUCUUUAAAAUAAACUUCUCUUUGUUUAAA